GGCCUUUCAGAGCCACUGACAUGCCGGCAGCACAAUGAGGAUGUCACUGACUCUACUGCUGGCCACCCUGGGGCUCCUUGUUCAGGAUUCAUCAGGAGAAAUCAUCCUGACUCAGUCUCCUAAAGCUCAGUCUGUUGUUCCAGGACAGACUGUCUCUAUCAGAUGUAAAGCCAGUUCAGGUGUUAGCAAUGAUUUGCAGUGGUACCUUCAGAAACUUGGAGAAGCUCCUAAACUCCUCAUUUAUAAUGCUCAGUCCCGUCAGUCUGGAGUUUCAGAGCGUUUCAGUGGGAGUCAGUCUGGAACUGACUUCACUUUGACCAUCAGUGGAGUUCAGACUGAAGAUGCAGGAGUUUAUUACUGUCAGCAGGAUUACAGCAGACCGUUCACACAGUGAAAAAGUGUCAUACAAAAACCUCCCUCAGCUGAGAGGAACUGAUCUGAAUCAACAGCUGCAUGGAAACUAAAUGGCAACAAGAUACAACUAAAACACACCUCAUAAUUACAUGUAGUUCUAAUAAUGUGGCAUUUAAAAUAAUCAA